GCGGGUGUGGUGGAACGGUAGACACAGUGGCUUUAGGUGCCACCGCCGCAAGGCGUGGGGGUUCAAAUCCCUCCACCCGCACCA
rnacentral:tRNA from 1 species